GGUGCUAUCGUCUAGUGGUAGGACAACACAUUGUGGUCUACGAGCUCCUUGCUUAGUAAUACAUCUGUGUAAACAAUGGUUCGAUCCCGUCUGGCGCCA
rnacentral:tRNA from 1 species